rnacentral:rRNA from 1 species
AGCUUUAAGUUUAAUUUAAGGUGAGACCUGCCCAAUGCAAUAAUGUAAACGGCCGCAGUACCUUGACUGUGCUAAGGUAGCAUAAUCAGUUGGCUUUUAAAUGGAGUCGAGAAUGAAUGGAUUAAUAGGAUGAAGCUGUCUCUUUUAUAUUAAUUUGAAUUUACUUAUUAGGUGAAAAUUCCUAUAUUUAGAAAAAAGACGAGAAGACCCUAGGAGUUUUAACUAAUAGUUAUUUUUAACUUAUGUUUUGGUUGGGGCGACGUUGGAGAACUAUAACCUCCUAUAACUUAUUUGCCGAUAAAAUAUGAUAAUAUAAACUACCCUAGGGAUAACAGCGUAAUUCUUUUAGAGCUUGCGACCUCGAUGUUGGACUAGGAAUUUAUUAGGCUAGCCGCUUAUUUAUAUUGUUCUGUUCGAACAAAUUUCUCCUACAU